GACGAACGCUGGCGGCGUGCCUAAUACAUGCAAGUAGAACGCUGAAGGAGGAGCUUGCUUCUCUGGAUGAGUUGCGAACGGGUGAGUAACGCGUAGGUAACCUGCCUGGUAGCGGGGGAUAACUAUUGGAAACGAUAGCUAAUACCGCAUAACAGUAGAUAUCGCAUGAUAUCUACUUGAAAGGUGCAAUUGCAUCACUACCAGAUGGACCUGCGUUGUAUUAGCUAGUUGGUGAGGUAACGGCUCACCAAGGCGACGAUACAUAGCCGACCUGAGAGGGUGAUCGGCCACACUGGGACUGAGACAAGGCCCAGACUCCUACGGGAGGCAGCAGUAGGGAAUCUUCGGCAAUGGACGGAAGUCUGACCGAGCAACGCCGCGUGAGUGAAGAAGGUUUUCGGAUCGUAAAGCUCUGUUGUAAGAGAAGAACGAGUGUGAGAGUGGAAAGUUCACACUGUGACGGUAUCUUACCAGAAAGGGACGGCUAACUACGUG
rnacentral:rRNA from 1 species